rnacentral:rRNA from 1 species
GAGUUCCUACGGGGGGCAGCAGUGGGGAAUAUUGCACAAUGGGGGAAACCCUGAUGCAGCAACGCCGCGUGAAGGAAGACGGUUUUCGGAUUGUAAACUUCUGUUCUUAGUGAAGAAGAAUGACGGUAGCUAAGGAGCAAGCCACGGCUAACUACGUGCCAGCAGCCGCGGUAAUACGUAGGUGGCAAGCGUUGUCCGGAAUUACUGGGUGUAAAGGGAGCGCAGGCGGGAAGCCAAGUCAGCUGUGAAAACUACGGGCUUAACUUGUAGACUGCAGUUGAAAUUUGUUUUUUUGAGUGAAGUAG